rnacentral:rRNA from 1 species
GUCGGUAUAAACCGUGAGGAAGGUGGGGAUGAAGUCAAAUCAGCACGGCCCUUAUGUACAGGUUUUACACCCGUGUUACAAUGGCCGGUAAAGAGGGCAGCUACCUGGAGACAGGAUGCGAAUCUCGAAAGCCGAUAUCAGUUCGGAUCGGAGUCUGCAACUCGACUCCGUGAAGCUGGAUUCGCUAGUAAUCGCGCAUCAGCUAAAAGAGCGGUGAAUACGUUCCCGGGCCUUGUACACCCCUCCAAGGAGGUAUGCACUGAGGUAAGCCUGAACCAUUACAUCCCGCGUGCAGGAAGACGGCGCUAUGCGUUGUAAACUGCUUUUCCAGGGGAAGAAAACCCGCUACGAGUAGCGGCUUGCCGGUACCUUGGGAAUAAGCAUCAGCUAACUCCGUGCCAGCAGCCGCGGUAAUACGGAGGAUGCGAGCGUUAUCCGGAUUUAUUGGGUUUAAAGGGUGCGUAGGCGGAUUAAUAAGUCUGUGGUGAAAACCUGCAGCUUAACUGUAGAAUUGCCAUUGAUACUGUUAAUCUUGAGUACAGUCAAUGUAGGCGGAAUGUGUAUUGCAGCGGUGAAAUGCUUAUAUAUUACACAGAACACCUAUUGCUAAGGCAGCUUACUGGGCCUUUAGUGACGCUGAGGCACAAAAG